rnacentral:rRNA from 1 species
GCGACCCCAGGUCAGGCGGGGCUACCCGCUGAAUUUAAGCAUAUCAAUAAGCGGAGGAGAAGAAACUUACAAGGAUUCCCC